UACGGGGGGGGUAAGCGUUGUUCGGAAUUACUGGGCGUAAAGGGCUCGUAGGCGGCCAACUAAGUCGGACGUGAAAUCCCUCAGCUUAACUGGGGAACUGCGUCUGAUACUGGUUGGCUUGAGUGCAGGAGAGGAACGCGGAAUUCCAGGUGUAGCGGUGAAAUGCGUAGAUAUUGCUCGGAAGGCCAGAGCCGAAGGGGCCCUACUGGUGCGCAACUGACACUGAGGCACGAAAGCGUGGGGAGCAAACAGG
rnacentral:rRNA from 1 species